rnacentral:rRNA from 1 species
AGAGUUUGAUCAUGGCUCAGGACGAACGCUGGCGGCGUGCCUAAUACAUGCAAGUCGAGCGGACUAAUGGGAGCUUGCUCCCGUUAGUUAGCGGCGGACGGGUGAGUAACACGUGGGCAACCUACCUGUAAGACUGGGAUAACUUCGGGAAACCGGAGCUAAUACCGGAUGACAUAAAGGAACUCCUGUUCCUUUAUUGAAAGAUGGCUUCGGCUAUCACUUACAGAUGGGCCCGCGGCGCAUUAGCUAGUUGGUGAGGUAACGGCUCACCAAGGCGACGAUGCGUAGCCGACCUGAGAGGGUGAUCGGCCACACUGGGACUGAGACCACGGCCCCAGACUCCUACGGGAGGCAGCAGUAGCGAAUCUUCCGCAAUGGACUGAAAGUCUGCACGGAGCAACGCCGCGUGAGCGAUGAACGCCUUCGAGGUCGCAAAGCUGCUGCUCUANGNCCNGGAAGAAUAAGUGCUAGUUGAAUAAGCUGGCACCUUGACGGUACCUAACCAGAAAGCCACGGCUAACUUACGUGCCAGCAGCCGCGGUAAUACGUAGGUGGCAAGCGUUGUCCGGAAUUAUUGGGCGUAAAGCGCGCGCAGGCGGUUUCUUAAGUCUGAUGUGAAAGCCCCCGGCUCAACCGGGGAGGGUCAUUGGAAACUGGGAAACUUGAGUGCAGAAGAGGAAAGUGGAAUUCCAAGUGUAGCGGUGAAAUGCGUAGAUAUUCGGAGGAACACCAGUGGCGAAGGCGGCCUACUGGGCUUUUACUGACGCUGAGGCACGAAAGUGUGGGGAGCAAACAGGAUUAGAUACCCUGGUAGUCCACACUGUAAACGAUGAUAACUAGGUGUGGGGGGACUGACCCCUUCCGUGCCGGAGUUAACACAAUAAGCUAUCCACCUGGGGAGUACGGCCGCAAGGUUGAAACUCAAAGGAAUUGACGGGGGCCCGCACAAGCAGUGGAGUAUGUGGUUUAAUUCGAAGCAACGCGAAGAACCUUACCAGGUCUUGACAUCCAACUAACGAAGCAGAGAUGCAUUAGGUGCCCUUCGGGGAAAGUUGAGACAGGUGGUGCAUGGUUGUCGUCAGCUCGUGUCGUGAGAUGUUGGGUUAAGUCCCGCAACGAGCGCAACCC